rnacentral:rRNA from 1 species
CGAGUAACCUGCCCUUAACUCUGGGAUAAGCCUGGGAAACUGGGUCUAAUACCGGAUAUGACUCCUCAUCGCAUGGUGGGGGGUGGAAAGCUUUAUUGUGGUUUGGAUGGACUCGCGGCCUAUCAGCUUGUUGGUGAGGUAAUGGCUUACCAAGGCGACGACGGGUAGCCGGCCUGAGAGGGUGACCGGCCACACUGGGACUGAGACACGGCCCAGACUCCGUACGGGGGGCAG